AUCAUAAAGAGGAAACGUAGUGUAAAAAUAUAAACUAUUUUUUGUUAUUAAGUUAACACCAUAAAGAAGAUUCUUCCACUGACAUUUAACCUUUGUUUUCUCCCACUUAGUUUGGAAAUCACUGAUAAUACUUGAGUAGUCAUCAAAAAAUCAAAUUAUACUACAUGGCAAAACUAAUUGUCUCCUAAAAUGAAUAAGUAUCUCCUAAGGUAGAGUUUAUCAAGCUGAGUAAUACUAAAGAACCAGGAAUUCAAGUCACACUUGAACGAUUUAUAUUUCCUAUUUGCCAGCAAAAUGUUUUCAAAAUAAACCUCUGACAUCAGAGAGUAUAUUGUAGUGCUAUUCAAAGGCAGCAGAAUGAGGACUUAAAUUAGUACACAAUUGAAUAAGCUUAACAAACAAUUUGCUUUCAAAUUUUGUGGUGAAAAUAAUAACUCCUUUUCAUUCAAUACUAAUAUUUACCCAGUAUUAACCCUUAGAAAUAAAAGCUCAAAGUAAACAAGGAAUGAAAAAUGAAAGCAUCUAAGCACAAUGACCUCUGACUUUAAGAAAUAAAACUUAAUCUCAUGUUUAACCAUAUAGAAAAAUUAUUACAGGAUACAGUUUCUUCCCUGCUUUGUGACAUAUGAGAUAAAAUUUUAAGUGUAAGUGGUUUCAAGCAUGCGUAGAGCACUGGAGAAUAAGGAAAGUUGGUAAAAUCAUUCAGGCUUUUUUGGACUAUUACCAUCGAAGGUACUUAGACCUCAGAAAACAUUUUCUGAAGGAAUUUUAAUCUUUGGAUUUGAUUUUGCUGCUGUUGUUGUUGUUGACAGCUAAUGGAAAGUGCUUCCCUUGGUUUAAGAGGGAGAUCCUUGAUUCUUCUGUGCCUAUUUCAGUUAUCAGAAUUUUCAACAUUCAGCAGUGAAUAAUGACAUUUAACAACAGCAAUAGCUUUCAUCUAUGGACACAGCAACACUGCAGAAAGAGAUUAACAUUACUAUCAAAUCCAUGACAAAAACCAGUUUGCAGGGCAGAAAUAGAGACACAGAUGUAGAGAACAAAUGUAUGGACACCAAGAGGGGAAAGUGGCGGCGAGUGGUGGUGGUGGUAUGAACCGGGAGAUUGGGAUUGACAUGUAUACACUAAUAUGUAUGAAAUGGAUAACUAAUAAGAACCUGCUGUGUAAAAAAAUAAAAUUCUAAAAUUCAAAAAAAAAGUAAAAAAAGAAAAAAAAAAACAAACAAAAAUACCCUUUUAUACCUAAAGACAUUUACUUCUGAAGUGUCAAACUGCCAUACCAGUAGUACACAAUAAUCGCUGAACAGUCUUGUUCUGGGCUCAGUUUGAUUUAGCUAACUCUGCGGUAAAAAGAGCAUGUUCUGAAUUCACUUCAGAUACGUAAGAAGUAAAGAUAAUAAGACCUUAUAUUUUAUUUCAGAUCUCAAAAAGGAACACUGUUAAUAGAAAUGAUUUCUAAUAACUUCUGAAUACACCUAGCUGAGGCAAGUUCUUCAAUUCUUUUGCUCUACCCUGAUCAUGCAAUUAAUCUACUAAGAGGAAAGUGUGCUUAUUGUGACCCAUUUUUCAAGACAAACAGAAUCAACGCUUUUUAGAUCCAGUUAUCUAUACAAAGUUGAAAACCAGAUCAGACUUUCCCGGUGGCGCAGUGGAUAAGAAUCCUCCUGCCAACGCAGGGGACACAGGUUCAAGCCCUGGUCCAGGAAAAUCCUGCAUGUUGCGGAGCAAUUAAGGCCGGGUGCCACAACUACUGAGCCUGCUUUCUAGAGCCCAUAAGCCACAACUACUGAAGCUCACGUGCCUAGAGCCCAUGCUCUGCAAUAAGAGAAGGCACCGCAAUGAGAAGCCCAUGCACCACAACGAAGAGUAGCCCCCGCUUGCCGCAACUAGAGGAAGCCUGCGCGCAAAGACCCGACACAGCCAUAAUAAAUAAAUAAAUAAAU